rnacentral:rRNA from 1 species
CCUACGGGUGGCUGCAGUGAGGAAUAUUGGUCAAUGGCCGAGAGCCUGAACCAGCCAAGUCGCGUGAGGGAAGAAUGUCCUACGGAUUGUAAACCUCUUUUGUCAGGGAGUAAAGUCACGCACGUGUGCCUGUUUGUGUGUACUUGAUGAAUAAGCAUCGGCUAACUCCGUGCCAGCAGCCGCGGUAAUACGGAGGAGGCGAGCGUUAUCCGGAUUUAUUGGGUGUAAAGGGAGCGUAGACGGGUUAUCAAGUCGGCGGUAAAACCCCGGGGCUCAACUCCAGACUGCCGUUGAAACUGAUGAUCUAGAGUGGGGGAGAGGUAUGCGGAAUGCGUAGUGUAGCGGUGAAAUGCGUAGAUAUCAGGAGGAACACCAGUGGCGAAGGCAGCAUACCGGAGAGCAACUGACGCUGAGGCACGAAAGCGUGGGUAGCGAACAGGAUUAGAUACCCCAGUAGUC